UGCAGUCUGAGUACACUUGAGGUAGCGAAUGUGUAAUGUAGCGUGAAAUGCUUAGAUAUUACACAGAACACCAAUUGCGUAGCAGCUUACUAAGUUGUAACUGACGCUGAUGCACGAAAGCGUGGGGAUCGAACAGGAUUAGAUACCCUGGUAGUCCACGCUGUAAACGAUGAUCACUCGUUGUUGGCGAUAAACAGCCAGCGACUAAGCGAAAGCAUUAAGUGAUCCACCUGGGGAGUACGGUCGCAAGACUGAAACUCAAAGGAAUUGACGGGGGCCCGCACAAGCGGAGGAACAUGUGGUUUAAUUCGAUGAUACGCGAGGAACCUUACCUGGGCUUAAAUGUAGAACGACGUUCCGGGAAAUCGGAAUUCCCUUCGGGGCGUUUUGCAAGGUGCUGCAUGGUUGUCGUCAGCUCGUGCCGUGAGGUGUCGGGUUAAGUCCCAUGACGAGCGCAACCCUUAUCGUUAGUUGCCAGCGGGUCAUGCCGGGAACUCUAACGAAACUGCCGGUGUAAACCGUGAGGAAGGUGGGGAUGACGUCAAAUCAGCACGGCCCUUAUGUCCAGGGCUACACACGUGUUACAAUGGUCGGUACAGAGGGCAGCUACCACGCGAGUGGAUGCAAAUCUCGAAAGCCGAUCUCAGUUCGGAUUGGAGUCUGCAACUCGACUCCAUGAAGCUGGAUUCGCUAGUAAUCGCGCAUCAGCCAUGGCGCGGUGAAUACGUUCCCGGGCCUUGUACACACCGCCCGU
rnacentral:rRNA from 1 species